rnacentral:ncRNA from 12 species
GGGCUAUAGCUCAGCUGGGAGAGCGCCUGCCUUGCACGCAGGAGGUCAGCGGUUCGAUCCCGCUUAGCUCC